UUCUUUUUAUUAAAAAGUAACUCAUGCACAUACAUAGUUAAUAAUGAAAAAAAAAGUUCCCCCUCAUCCCAGCUUAGUGCCCUAGAGAUAAGCACUUUCAACUCUUAGUGGUUUGUUCCUACUUGAAAAUAUAUUGUGUUUCUUUUUCUUGAUUUGUCAAUUUCAGAAAUGCUUUCUUGAGUUUCUUUCAGGGCAGGCAGGAUUUGCUUUUCUUAGAUCCCUACCUUCCCCCCGAUUUCUUCCCCAUCUCUCCCAAUCUCCCAGUGUAGUUUAGCCAGAGAUUUUCGUAAAAUCAAUAGCUACACAGUAACUUUCUCCCUUAUCUGCUGUUUUGCUUUCUGUGGCUUCGCUUGCUUUGGCCUCAGUUACCCGCAGUCAGGCGCGGGCUGGAAGCAGGUGAUCAUCCUUAUGUCAUCAGGUCGUUAGUAGCCGAACACGUCGUCCCAGCGCCUGCGUCGUUCACCUCCCUUCGUCUCACACGCAGGCGUGUUCUCUCAUGUCACCACGAGGAGAAGGUGGCCGGCCGGAGAGAAGUGUGCGGCAAUAAAUAACCUGUGGUUUAUAGCAUUGUGACCAUGGAUGGCAGACUGUCUUUUUUUUUUUUUUUCCUUCUGUGCCAACUCUGACCAGUUAGCUAUAGCUUCCAGGGAUUCUGAGUUUGAGGCUGGGAUCAGCAGAGCGUAAGCCACCUACCUGAUGAAUGAUGUCUGUCAUGGGCUUUGCGGGAGGCUGUGGGGAGUGGCGGCAAGGGUUUUCUGUCAUCCAGAAUAUAGGGCAAUGAUUAUGGUUGGACUCUGCGUAACUUUGCUAGAUUACAUUUUUUAAGCACUCACAAUAAACAAAGUUGAACAAUU